rnacentral:rRNA from 1 species
AUUGAACGCUGGCGGCAGGCUUAACACAUGCAAGUCGAGCGGGGGAAGGUAGCUUGCUACCGGACCUAGCGGCGGACGGGUGAGUAAUGCUUAGGAAUCUGCCUAUUAGUGGGGGACGACAUCUCGAAAGGGAUGCUAAUACCGCAUACGUCCUACGGGAGAAAGCAGGGGAUCUUCGGACCUUGCGCUAAUAGAUGAGCCUAAGUCGGAUUAGCUAGUUGGUGGGGUAAAGGCCUACCAAGGCGACGAUCUGUAGCGGGUCUGAGAGGAUGAUCCGCCACACUGGGACUGAGACACGGCCCAGACUCCUACGGGAGGCAGCAGUGGGGAAUAUUGGACAAUGGGCGCAAGCCUGAUCCAGCCAUGCCGCGUGUGUGAAGAAGGCCUUAUGGUUGUAAAGCACUUUAAGCGAGGAGGAGGCUACUUUAGUUAAUACCUAGAGAUAGUGGACGUUACUCGCAGAAUAAGCACCGGCUAACUCUGUGCCAGCAGCCGCCGUAA